CUCCCUCUGAUGGGGAGGGCUGUGACAGAGAAUCUCCUUCAGAAACUACUCCAGCUUGCAGCUAGUUUGGGGUUUUCCAGACUGCCGCUGCCUCCCCCCUUCCCCCCCUUGCUGGUGGGUGGGAACAGUCUUCUCAUUGCCAGCCUUGGCUGAUCCCUGAUCAGCACCCUACAGUUCCCGGGGAGUAGGAGUCGCAUCACCAGAUGAGCACUGCCUGGAUGAGAACAAAAGAAAACAGCUGCGGGACCUCGGGAGCAGAUCCUGUCCUGGAACUUGGUCGGCAAAGCUACUGAAACCCUGUGUUAAAUGAACUUGCUUUGUUCUUUCAUCACAAUGCAUCCAGUAUUGUGAAUCGUGCGGGGAACUCCAUUUAAGGUGUUGUAGCUCGAUGCCCUCGCAGAGGCAAUGGACCGAAUAUAUUUGGACAGUGUGGAACAGACAUUUCUGCGGGGAAAUCCGGGACCGGGAGUGCGUUGGGGUCACCGCGCAUGUAGUAAUCGAUGCUGCCGGAAGCCAGAGCGUGGCUGGUGUUUGCUAACAGGCCACUGGGGGUCAGAAUUGCUGGAUCGGGGCUGUGGCGAUACACAGACGCUCAGGGUGUGACUUGCAAGCCAUAUGGCUGUUUGGCCCAGCUCGGGAGCCACAGCAGCAAGGCAGCCCACGUUGCAGAGGCGGUCGUGACACAGCUGCUCACCGAUCCGGCUCGCACCCCAAAAUGUCUCAAGACACCAGUUUCCGGGAAGCCGUCUCACGUGCCAUUGUAUUUCACGUUAGCAGCAUUUGUAGGAUGAUUUUACAAGUUAUAAAACUCUUCACAUGUCACGAAAAUCCAGUCCAUCAAUUUGUCCCAGUUCUUGUGCUUGUUGUAAACCUUUCAUUCUCCUUGUUUUGGAUACUAGCAUUCCAGGUUCUGGCCCCAGAAGGAACUUCUGUAACUUGUCCCGGGGAAAAAUACAAACAUAUUUGGGUUUUUGACAAGUGACCUAUCUGCCUAUGUAUGUCACAGGCCAGGCAGUACUAUCGCGGCAUGUUGCAGAAUAUGAGAACAUAGCUUACCUUGGCGCUCAGACCGGCCUGCGUUCUGCUUACAACGCAGAGCCAUCCCAGGGCUGGUGCAAUCCACCUCCUGAGACCAGGGGGCUAUUUGUUUGAUGGGUUAAUAAAGGGCUCGGUGACUAGUCACCAAUCCCCGGGUUGACUCACUGCUGUCGCUUUGGUGUCUGUGACACAAGGGGGUGAAGAGGGGAGUUAAAAAAAUCUCCUGAGUCUGCUAUAAACAUUCUGGUUCUCCCAAAGAAUUUCAGGUGAAAGUGCUGCUCAUUAAUAUUGUUGUGAAAUGGUGCACAUGUAAGGAGUUAGCUCUGCAAAGUGUAUCUCUCUGUUGAGAUGCAACUGUAGCAUUGUAAAAUAGCAGAAUGCAUGCCUGUUUACAUACAAAGAGAUGUGAAGUCAAAAGAAAAGGAGCACAGAGUUGAAAACAAGCCCCAGGGGAUUAUCCUGCCUCAGAGUAAAGAGACAUCCUUUCACCCUGCACCUGGGAAGCGAAGGGACAGCAUGGAUCGUAGGCAACCUUGGUUGAAAAAGCUGCCAGAGGACUUUGGGUGAGAGAAAGGUCUUCAGCCAGGAGGUUAACCUGCUAGUUUAGAAAGUGUGCUGGGAUUGCGGUUGUUUAGGUCAUGACUUGUUUCCAAACAGGAUAAUAAAUGUAUUCUUCUAAUCUCGGUGCCUGUGGUUAAGCCAAGUGCGGGUCCUGAGUUAAAUCUUUCUUACAAAGCGGUAUGUCCUGUUUAUUUGGGAAAGCGUUCAGUGGCGGGCAGUGCAGUGGGUGUGCGAACCUAGGUUUUCCCAGCG